GAUGUUUUUAGGGAAAAUUUCAAUUAUAUUUUUCUUUUUUUGAUUGAAAAAAUUUAGGACAAAAAUCUGUUUUUACUUUUUUUUGCCUUUUAUAAAUAAUUGAAAUGUGUUUUUGCAGUUAGCCCUCCUCCACUGCUCAUUUUCAUGUGGAAAGGAGAGGAAAAGAUAAAAGUAAGAGAAAGUGGAGGGUAAAACACUUUUUCUUAUUUUCGUUUUAACUUUACCAGUAGGAAAAUGUGAAAAAUUGAAUAGAAGUGAGAGAAAGUAUUGUUUAUCUCCCUUUUCAAAUUAAUUUUAAAGAAUUCCUCAUAUUUGUCCAGUUAAAACAGUGGGGGGGGGGACCCGAAAAUUCUCUCUCCCUUUUCAUAUCCAUACCCUCCAUUUUUCGGUGGAAAAAGAAAGAAAUUGAAAUAAGUAAAGGGAAGAGAUAGAAGAAUAAAAACAUCUCCAUUUUUAAAAGACCAAUGCAAUGAAAAUGUCAAUUUGAAAAAAUAUGUUUUUUUCACUUAGCGUUCUUGUAAAAACUUUGAACGCAAUGUCGUCAUCUGAAAUAUUUUUGAGGAAAAAACAUGUGUUUUCCAAUAAGUUCUAUAGUUUAGUAAUAUAAAAGAGAAAGGUUUACAUUAACUAUUUGCAAAUGACAAGGAGUCAAGACUACUUGUUCUUGCUGCUGUCACAGACUCCUGGUGUUUCUUUUGUCAGUCCCCUUAAUCUUUAUCACAAUUUCCUCAUCUAUAAUAAUAAUAAAAAAGAGGAUACUACUACUGACUUACCUCAGAAGAACUAAUUUGCUAAGAUUUAUAAAGUGCUUUGAAAAGCUCAUAUAAAUUGUUUUGCAGUCAAAUGCAAUGGUGACACAUUGAUAGACUGAUAGACUGAUCUGCAGAAGCGGCGAGUAUUACCAAUAUUAUUUCUAAGGGGAGUCAGAAGUCGGCAUUGGAAAUUAGUAGUGUCUGCAAAUUUUAAAAUCACAAUUGUAGAGUAUAGCUAUGAUGUUAAAAAUAGAGAUGCCUAAAAUUAGGUAUCUAUUGAUUUAGACACGUAGGUAAAUGGCCUGAUUUUGGAAAGUGUUGAGCUCCCAGCAGCUCCUACGGAAUUUUUGAAAAUAAGGUCACUUGUUUAGAUGUUUGGAUUUAGGAGUCUAAUUCUAGGUACACACAUUUGAAAACCUAAAUUUGUUUUUACUUACUUAUGUUAAAAUUUCCAUUGACUAAGCAUCUCAAAUUUGACCAAUAAGCAGAAAUGCGCACACAGAUAACUUAUCAAAGCCUUUUCUCUCUGUUAAAGCUGUCGGUGCCAUAACUUGCAAAGAUAAUGCAGUGUUAGAAGUGUCUUUUCCCAUUACUCUUUGCAUGAACUCAACUAUUAGGAAAUGUUGAGAGACCAAGGGCACAGCCAGAGCAUAAUUGGUAACUCUCAGAUUGAGAGCGCCUUACAUGUCGAUAACGGAUUUUGUAUGCUACCAGUAGCUCUCCCUCAUCAGCCAUCACCUUUCUAUUAUGAUCUUAUUCCUAUCCAAUAUGUCAACUACUAGCAAACAUCACCUAUCAGUUUCCAUGCUACUUAAGAACCGACAUCUCACUUGUAUGCUUUUCUGUAUGUUUGGCUUCUGGGUGCAUGGAGUUGAAGCCCAGCUUAAUUACAAUGGAAGGGAACACUUUCUUGCUCAUUGGCCUAAAUGUUCCUUGGAAACAGAUUAGAGAGAUUCCGUUCAUUCCAUCACCGAGACUGGGUUUGUUCUUUCUUCAACAUGUGACGGAGGUGGGGGGAGGUGUGGGCCCCAAACUAGAUUUAUUACUACUUAUAAAGAAGACUAAAAUAUAGUGAGUGAAAUUAGAGGAACGUGUAGCAUAAACAAUAUGUGAAGGAAUGCAAAAUGUGAUGGAUAACAAUCCUGAAAUGGAAAAUCAGACUGAGUCAUUUUAGGUGCCUAUUGAUUUCAAAAUAGCUCAACGGUGUUAAAAUUCUCAAUCUGAAUCAUCCCCGAGACAGACUUGUAGGAGAGGCACUUCUGUCAGUGAAGGAUGCCCUGGCAAUACCUGAGCAGAGGAAAGCCCUUAGAUAUAGACAUGGUUUUAAAUGCUUAAGGAUGCGCUUAUCUCCAUAAGUUUCUCUACCCCUUUUAUUAUUUUUCCAUUGAAAUUAAUUUUGUCUUUCCUUUCUCUCUCUUGCUUGCAAAAGAGGGAAAGAAAAAUCAAGAGAGAAAUGAAAGAGACAGACUUGGAUCUAAGGUAUGUACUGAACUCUCACAUUGGCCUGAGAUGUAGCUCUGUAUCUAAAUUAUGAAACCUGUAGCUUUAAUUAAUAUGGUCUUGUGUCCCAUUUUCAAACAGGAAGCCAAAAAAUGUGAGUCUAUGUCUGACCCCACAGGACACCAAACUCCAGAGACCGUGUAUGACAAUGCAUGCUGCUCUGCAUAAUGAUGCAUUUCAAUGUCACGGCAUUAAUACCACACACAGUUUUACUAUCUUCUGCAGCAGUGGAGACCUGCCUUUUCAGCCGUGGCUUGAACAUGCUUAUUCAAAAAGACAAGGGGGUCACAACCAGUAUUUUGGGACAGAAUCUGUGUCCUGAAACUUCCCUCAAUUUUACUGCUGCGAAUUUCCCUUAGAAUGGAAGAUUUCCCAGGAGGCAUUGAGCUGGCAUGGCUGGUUCCUAUACCUCCUUCCCCACAGCCUCUGUAGCAGGAGACACAGGGAAGGUAGAUACCGUUUGGUUAUCUCCAACUAUCAUAUAUCCCUUACGGAUCAUAGCCAGUUGACACAAAUUAGUGCAGCCCCCUAGAUUGUUUUAAUCUAGGAUGGGGAAGAGAAUCAGGAAGCCAUAAUUAAUUGUUGGCUUCUCCUCUUCCCUUAUUCUGAGCUGUUCUAGUUGGUGGUAUGUGGGAGAACUGAGUCAUACUUUGCCAGAUGUUCCCCUAGCCUCUGGCACAACUAGCUGAAUUUCUGUGAUGUUCUACAUGUCCUCUCCUAGCUUGGAAGGAAACCAGGCAAUGGAUCAGCUACAACUGCUUUCAACUAUGGAUAGGUACAUUUUUUUGAACAACCAAAAUUUCACAAUCUCAGGUCUAAUUUGACAAGUACGUUUUUUUUUUUAGGGGAGGGAUUUUUAAAGUAAAAACAUUGGGAUAUUUCUAAUGAUGUUUUGUUUAAAAUAUUUCUAAGUUAUUUAAAAUGGACAAAUUAUAAGGUUAAAAACAUCCUAAGAGGAAACAAAACAGAAACAAAAAACAAAAUUUGUUUCAGGAUGAUCCCAAAUGAUUUUUUCCAGGUUUAUCGAUUCAGCUGCCAACACAAAAAAAGUUAUUUUUCCAGCUUUAUCUUCUUCGACCUCUUCUGCAACAAAGCAAGUGACCAACCGGUACAGAGGUAUGAAGCAGCUGUUACAGGAAAAUGCAGCAGUUAUUGCAGGAUUAUGCGGAAGAAAUAGAACAGUUGGUCACUGGCUGUCCACCCAAAGAGAAGUUCUGAAUGGAACAAAGCUUGUCAUCAACUGGCAGAAGAGGACAAAAUCCUUUUUAUUUUCCUCUGAGCCCUUCAAGAAGUUCUCUCUUUAGAUUAUGGACCUAAUCAUGUUCCCAUUAACAUGAACGGAAUAAUGAUCAGCUGCAAGCCAGUGAGGCAAACAUUAUAUAGGUCUGUAAAAACUGGCAACAGACUUUAUUGAACAGCCACAAAAGAAAUGCCCAAGCAUGGCUAGUUAUUGGAUCAUACUUAAAAGCUUAAUAACUGGUGGGAACUAUUUAGCUCUCAAGCUAAAUUGAGUAGGGCUGGGUCACUAUGUAGGUGGGAACCCUCUAAUAAAAGCCUACAAGAAGAGCUGAUGAGGAUUUAAUGUUCAACCAAUGCUAUGAAGGGGCAUUUUGUAGAUGGGAGUGCUGUUUUUUUAACAUCACAACAAUUUAAUGGUCUGAUCUCUUGGGAUCCUAUCCAAAGUUUCUGACAACAUUGGGGAGACUUCCAUCAAUAUUGGUGGGCUCUAGAUCAGGCCUUUGUUUCACCCAUGUUCUGCAAAUUCAGAGUAUGAUCGUUAAAUGUGGUGUCCUAGCCAACUUUCAACUGGAGUUAUUCCUACCUUACUUGUCAUUCCCCCUGAGAUUUUAUUUGGUAAUUUUUCCUCUCAAACUGUUCUAAACUAUUGCUGUGUGCUUUUAAACAGUGGCUGUGUUUCAGCUCAGGAAGUGUCUGCAUUUGACUCAUUAACUGGAUUCCUUUACACUACAUUUUUCAAACUUUGUUUAGGAUCCAUUUGGAUUAAAAGUGCUAUAUAAAUGCAAGAUCAUCUCCAUAGGAUGCCAUUAAUUUUAUGGAUCUGGAUGUCACCAAAUUAAAAAAGAUUCCCAAUAGCUGCUGGCUUGAACGCAUGCAUUUGUAUCGUGGCCAUGUUGGUCUGUGCCCCCACUGCAGCCUGUGACCUUUAACACAAGCCUUUGAUGAGGAGCAUCUGCAGCACCAUUGUGACUAUGGAGCUUGGGGAGUACUCACUUCGGGCAUUGAUGAGAAGUAGGAAUGUUGAAAGGGCGGGAAAAAGAAAAAGCACUUUAUACAUUUCUCAGCUGAUGCGUUGAGCGGGCAGGCAAACAGCCCAGAAAGGUUGUGGCAGAGCCAUCAGCGUGAAUACAAAACACAAUGUUUAUUUCAAAAGAAAAAAAAAGGAAAAGUGAUGCAGCUGCAUUGCUCUACCCAUGAAAUUACAUUAAUGCUGCAGCUUCAAAAGGAACACUCCAGUCCUUUGCUGGCAUCUACCCCUUUCAUUCAUUAAUCUUCUUAAUGCACUGAGCAAACUUCAGAAUUAGAAAAUGUACAGUGGGCUGUGUCAUUCCUUUGACAUGCUUUAUUUUUCAGACUUACUUCACACACCCAGACACACAGUCACAUAUCUUCUGACCUUCCAAUGGUGCAGAAGAGGUCAUCUUGAUAUAGAAGUCAUCUCAUCCAGUACAGUACAAUGAUCCCCCAUUUCCAACAGGAUGAGAAGUGUCAGGAAAUGUUUGGUAACAUGUUUCAUUUCACCAGCAGAGUUUAUUCUUGGAACAAGACAAGAGGAAAUAUGCACCUUGUAGCCAAAUCCUGCUAGUGUUACAAACACCUAAGUUCUCUCUCAAAGAUAUUUCUAAGAAGAGAAGGGGGAAAGUAGGAAAGUCAAAGACACCUCUCAAUAUCCAAAACCAAUUCCUACACAUAGAACCACACAGGUCCUCUGGCGCACACAUUCCUAACUGUCCAAGCAAAUAAUUACUCACCCACAGAACUCACUCUCUCUCUCUCUCUCUCUCUCUCUCUCACACACACACACACACACACACACACACACACACACACACACUUGCUCUGUUACUAUGUCUCAGUCAAGACACGUUGCUGCUGCAAUGGGUAAAAAGCAGAUAUGCUCUCUUAAUCCUGCAGCUAUCAAGUCUAGCAGACUGCAUAUGGUUAUUUGCGCCUAAAAGCAAACGGGUAUAACGAAGCAGAUCACAUACCGUUAUACAUCCUGACUGACUGCAAUUUGAUGAGCUCAGAACUACUGACAACGUCCACACCUUUCAGCCUCAGUGUUAAUGUUAAACUUUCUUGGCUCUCAGUUCUGUGAUAAUGAAACCACAUCUAUGGGAGACCCAAAGUAGCAAGUUUAUUUAAUGUAGGCCAAUGUUGUUGUUAUGCAAUAUUAGAACUAUUUGUAUAAAAAACUUUCCAUUGUAUCCCACCUUGUUUCAACCACUGCAUUAAAGAGAGCUGUGACAGAUUUAAGCAACUGAGCAAAGUGAAUCAAAACAUUCAACCAUACCAGUCCAGGAGCCAAACAACACACUUAGCUGCACCCAUGCAAGCCUUAUGAAACAGGCCAAAAAGCAAGAAAAGGGAUGCUUUCUAGGGCUAUGUCUAGACUGCAAGCCUCUUUCG